rnacentral:rRNA from 1 species
AGAGUUUGAUCCUGGCUCAGGACGAACGCUGGCGGCGUGCUUAACACAUGCAAGUCGAACGAUGAAGAAAAGAAUUGAAGCUUCGGCAGAAAUUCAUUUCGGAUUAGUGGCAGACGGGUGAGUAACGCGUGAGCAACCUACCUCUUACAAAGGGAUAGCCUCGGGAAACCGGGAUUAAUACCAUAUAACAUUGCGACGAAGCAUUUCGAUGCAAUCAAAGCUACGGCGGUAAGAGAUGGGCUCGCGUCCCAUUAACCGGAUGGUGAGGUAACGGCUCACCAUAGUGACGAUGGGUAACCGGCCUGAGAGGGUGAACGGUCACACUGGAACUGAGACACGGUCCAGACUCCUACGGGAGGCAGCAGUGGGGAAUAUUGCACAAUGGAGGGAACUCUGAUGCAGCGACGCCGCGUGAGUGAUGAAGGAAUUCGUUUCGUAAAACUCUGUUCUAUGGGAAGAAAAGGACUGUACCAUAGGAGAAAGCUCCGGCUAAAUACGUGCCAGCAGCCGCGGUAAUACGUAUGGAGCGAGCGUUGUCCGGAAUUAUUGGGCGUAAAGGGUGCGCAGGCGGCUUUACAAGUUGGAUGUGAAAUAUUGUGGCUCAACCACAAACGUGCAUCCAAAACUGCAAAGCUUGAGUUAAGGAGAGGUAAGUGGAAUUCCUGGUGUAGCGGUGGAAUGCGUAGAUAUCAGGAGGAAUACCGGUGGCGAAGGCGACUUACUGGACUUAAACUGACGCUCAGGCACGAAAGCGUGGGGAGCAAACAGGAUUAGAUACCCUGGUAGUCCACGCCGUAAACG